rnacentral:rRNA from 1 species
AACGAACGCUGGCGGCAUGCCUAACACAUGCAAGUCGAACGAGACCUUCGGGUCUAGUUGCGCACGUUUGCGUAACGCGUGGGAACCUGCCCUUAGGUUCGGAAUAACUCCCCGAAAGGGGUGCUAAUACCGGAUAAUGUCUUCGGACCAAAGAUUUAUCGCCUUUUGAUGGGCCCGCGUUGGAUUAGCUAGUUGGUAGGGUAAAAGCCUACCAAGGCGACGAUCCAUAGCUGGUCUGAGAGGAUGAUCAGCCACACUGGGACUGAGACACGGCCCAGACUCCUACGGGAGGCAGCAGUGGGGAAUAUUGGACAAUGGGCGAAAGCCUGAUACAGCAAUGCCGCGUGAGUGAUGAAGGCCUUAGGGUUGUAAAGCUCUUUUACCCGGGAUGAUAAUGACAGUACCGGGAGAAUAAGCUCCGGCUAACUACGUG